rnacentral:lncRNA from 1 species
UCGCCUGGAGAAGUGGUCUUGGACAAACAAAAGGCUUUGUUCAAAGCACAAUACUCUUAUGACCACAUCACCUUGUUAUCGUCCAGAAGCUAUGCAAAACACUUGGCAGAGAGGUAUCUGGCUUUUCCUGUGCUGCUGAAGGCKCUCACUGCAGGCAGUAGACCUGAGCCAUCAGGACAAGGUGUGAGUGAGUGCUGCAGAUCCUUUGCUGGAUUAUUUUUAUUAUCUGGAAGGGCUCUUUCCAGCUGCAAAGAAUACAAAGAAUUCAUCUGAUCACAAGUUGGAAAGAUAUGCAGAUCCCAAGAUGCCAAAUCUUCUGAUGUCCAAGGGCAUCUCUCAAAACUUKCUCACUUGUCUCUCAUUGGAAGCAUCUGCCUGGAAGACUCCUGCUGGUGGUGCAUAGACAAGGUGCCUCCUCUCUUCUCACAUGGCAACCCAAGUGAUGAUGAAACCAAGGAGCUGAAGAAGGAGAGGCUGGGAAGGGAGUCGCUAACAUUGAAUCUGUGAGAUAUCCUGGCUGUCUUUUUAAGAAGAGAAGAGAUAAAUCUGGGGGUUGCAUGUGAAUCAUGGUCAGUUGCAUGCAAAGCUAGUAGUUUCUCAUAAAAUCCUCCAUAUGUUUGCAGUUUCUGAAAUUUCCAGAUGUAAACUGUGUUACAGAUACUUUCUUCUAUCAACUCUGGGAUCUUUUUAUAAAAAAAAAGUUUGUUUGAGAAGCUCUGUUUUCCAUAAAACCACAUAGAUUUGCAUUAAUUAUGUUGUCUUCCCUGAAUGUGCUCUUGCUUGCAUCCUUUGUCAAAAUGCAUGAUUGGCCAUGUGAGAGACAAAUUUAGGGUUAACGUGUGAUCUGUCCUGUUUACUGUUCUGAAGUAUAAAAUUUCCUUUUUUAUGUUCAUAAGAACAUUCUUGGUGUUCAGAGUGGUUUAAAAACAGCAGUACAGAUUCAGACAGCUUUUUGACCUUUUCUAAUACCUGUGAUUCUUAGUUUAGCUCAUCCUUCAGAUUAAGAAAAA